GCCCCUUGACGCUCAUGGAAAAUUAUUUUAGAGUUAAUUAAGUGUGUGUGACGUCGUUAUUGUAAAGAUAUUAAUUAUACAUAACUCGCUAGGCCAAACUGUUGGUCUGUUUUCAACAGUACGAGAAAUGUUUUUGCAUCAAUUCGAGGAGUUUGGCAGCAGAUAGACGAAACGAAAUGGAAGAUAUACGAACGGCCCUGUGGUAAUCCACGCUUUUUGAUAACGCUAUGUUUUGAAUAUAACGGGCAGCCCCUCCUCAGCGGUGAAGUCCGUCACGGUACGGUCGUCUGACUCCUAUCACCACAUACGGGAAACUGUUCUGCAUCGUUUUUUGUAUGUUUGGAAUUCCACUAUGUCUGCUGACUCUAAAAUCUGCG
rnacentral:misc_RNA from 1 species